rnacentral:rRNA from 1 species
UGUCUAAGUAUCAUUAAGUGAAUACAUAGCUUAAUGAGGGGAACUCAGGGAACUGAAACAUCUAAGUACCUGAAGGAAGAGAAAGAAAUUCGAUUCCGUAAGUAGCGGCGAGCGAACGCGGAUUAGCACAAACCAAUAAAGUUUUCUUUAUUGGGGUUGCGGACAUAUCAUAACGAAGAGGUAUCGUAAUUGAAGAGGUUUGGAAAGACCCACCACAGAAGGUAAUAGUCCUGUAUGUUAAACGAGAAGACUUUAGAUAUGAUCCAGAGUACCACGGGACACGUGAAACCCUGUGGGAAGCAGGAGGGACCACCCUCCAAGGCUAAAUACUACCUAGUGACCGAUAGCGUAUAGUACCGUGAGGGAAAGG